ensembl:misc_RNA 7SK 7SK RNA
GCAUGUGCAGUCUGGUUGUGACAUCUGCUGCCCUCUUGCUUUCCAAUGUUGAGUCAGCUGAUGUGCUGGCGAGGCAGGUGUCUUCUUGCUCCCUCUCUGCUCCAUGUGCGUCCCUCCAGAAGCUGUGUGCUCUGUCAAAGAGGACAACCUUCCGGGAGUAGAGACCUGCGAGUUGGUCUUUGGUUGAGGGUAUAAGAGUAGCUACACUUCCCUACUAGAACUUCCAAAGAAGCUCCUAAGCAUAGUUGUCCUUUUGGUAAGGUGGUGGUUGGCACAAAUAAUGGGAUUCAGUGAGAAUAAAGAAAUCUCGGGAAGUCUUGCUGAUGCUUUGUUU